CCUUCUCCCCCUGCAAGGACUUUAUUAAUGGGGGGAUGUGUGAGCACCCCCCCUUCUCCCCCUGCAGGGGCUUUAGCUGGAGGGAGGCAGCCCCCCCCCUUCUCCAAUGAGGCCUCAGCUUCCAAAGCCUUUCAUCCCUUUGACAUUUUCAUGCAUUCAGUGUCCACGUCCCCCCCCCCCCCUCCAGAAAAGGGAAGCAGAUUUCCGCACUUCCCAGAGACCCUUGGGCUAACUCUGGUUCAGGCCAGUGGUGCUGGAAUGGAGCCUUUAGCCCCGGGCCAGGGGCGCCCUUCUGGGGGCAGCAGGCUCUGGGUCCCUCAGAACCCCAGAGCUGACAGGAGCGACAGAGAAGUCCCGACCUAAUUUCCACCACAGACUGCGGACUCACUGGCAACCCAAGGCCCCUCGGAAGUGCUCGCAGGCCCGUUCCCGAGGGAGCCCCGAGUCUGUGGGGGGCAUGUCCCGGGCCAGGGGCCCUAAAGGUUAUCUCCACACCGCUGAGCCCCGCCCUCAGGGUGCGGGUGAAGCCGAGACCUCCGGUGCAAUAAGCAGACGCUUCCCCAAAGAGAAUGAGGGGCAGGGGCGGGAGCCCAGAGCUCGGUCCUGCGCUUUCUGCUGCCACCGGGCCUGGGCGGGCCGGGCCGGCAGAAGCCUCCCCAGCAGGGCCGCCGACCUCGGCGGUGUGUGCUGGGACUCGGCCAUCUCUCAUUCCGAGACCAUCUGCGAUGGGGGGCUCGCUAUCCGUCAGGGCCUCUCUAGUGGGGAGCUGUUUCCCUCCUCAUGGGAGACUGACACUGUAGCUUCCACUCGGCUUUUCUUGGGGAGGGGGCUUUGAAGCCGCAGUCGAGUCCUCCCGCCUCCCUAGCUUCAGUCCCCCAGUUCCCACAACCACUAAGAUUUUUUUUUCAUUUUUCUGGUUGAUAUACGUGUGCCAACUUUUAAAAUGCACAUUUCUUUCUGAAUCACGUUGAGGGAGAAAAAGGCACAGAAACAAGUGAACGCGGCGGGUGCUGAUUCAUGUCCCCUCUCGGCAGCCUCCCUCUGGAGGCAGAUGGCGCUUUCUGCCCAAAGUCGGCGUCUUGGGAGCCACGACCGCUCGCUCGGCCGCCCGGCAGCUUGGGGCUGGCCCUGGCCACCCGGUCCCUCGCCGCCCGGGCUCUCCCAGGGAGAAGCUCCCGCGGGCGCUGCGCUCACCCGGCCACCGGAAGCCCCCUCCCCCCCUCCCCCGGGCCGGGCGCUGCUGGCGCGGGAGCUUUUUCUCUCAGACCCAGCGACUUUUGUGAUUUAGUUGGCCCUUGGGGGUGGGGGGGUGGGGGAAGAACCGCCCCUAGCAAACGCGGCAGGACAUCUAAGAGACUUUUCCUUCCCCAAGUUCACGCGUGCGCUUGAGCCGAGCCGCUUGGAGCAGCUUUGUGCCUGUGACCGGCCUUUUUUCUUACACUUUCCCCAGGAACUCGGGGCCCCGGAGAGCGGAAGCAAGGGGCUGAGAAAGCCCGGGGGAGGUGGGCAAGGGCGCGCCGCGGGGCAGCCUCCGGGGGGCACGUGUUUCCUGCGCUGGCCCGCAUUUCUGGAGAAGCUCGCGAUCCCUCCGCUCCAAGACAUGAUCUCUUUCCUCGAAAACCUCUCAUCAACUGUGGAAGUCUUGGUUCUUCUCAGCGGCCCAAAGCAAUCCCAAUGGACUUUGGACAGAAAAUGCCGUCUGCCCCCAGAGGGAGAACUAAGGAGACUGAGUGCGAAUCAGCACUCGCUGUGUGCACUUCUCUUUUCUGUGAUUUUCUCCCCACGCUUUCCCCCUUUUGCUCUGAUUUUUCUCUCCAACGUGAUUCAUGACACAAUGUGUGUUCAGAUAAACCACAAAAGAAAA